rnacentral:lncRNA from 1 species
CGUGGAUCCAGUAGGUACUUAAUGCGUGUUCCAGUUCAAAAAUAUUCAUUUUGUUUUCCAGGUAAAUCUUGCCAGAUCUUUCCGGACUGCAGACACAGGAGCGCACGGAUCACACCAACGCCACAGAACCAUGUCGGACUCAGAGACUGCAGCUCCUGCCAAGACCCCUGUCCCAGCACCCUGUGUGGCCAUCAAGGCAGAUCUAGACAAAUGUGUAAAGGAGAAUGGUGAGGAAGUGUGUAAGGAGCUAAUGGAGGCGUUUGCUGCCUGUGUGAAGAGCAAUGCUGAGGCGUCAUGAGGAGCUCAACAUGCAGGAAAAGGUUUCACUGCACUGAGUCCUACACCUUCCCAGCAUUCCCUGCAGCUCAUGGCACUGGACUAAACGAUGGGGUUUGGGGUUUGGCAGCAGAGACCAUAUUUGUGUCUCUUCCCUUCUCUACCCCCCUGUGAAGCUUAAAUGGAUUCCUCCAACCACCAACCUCUCCUCCCCUUUUGUGGCUGAUUGUAUUGAUCUGAUCUGUAGACAGUUUGAGAUUUGAUGUAAAUGAUGUGUCUCAGAUGCUUUCAAAAUGGAAUAAAGAUUUUAAAAAUGGUUCGAUAUUUGUAACC